AGCUGAGGUGUGAUGGGGAAGGCCUUUUAGGCUGAAGUACUUGAUUCUACGCUGCCAAGAAAAGCUUCUAGGGAGAAAUGUAGUGCCCGUACCGCAAACCGACACAGGUAGGUGAGGAGAGAAUCCUAAGGCCGGCGGAAGAAUUACAGUUAAGGAACUCGGCAAAUUGACCCCGUAACUUCGGGAGAAGGGGUGCCUACGAGAGUAGGUCGCAGAGAAUAGGCCCAAGCAACUGUUUAGCAAAAACACAGGUCUCUGCUAAAGCGAAAGCUGAUGUAUAGGGGCUGACGCCUGCCCGGUGCUGGAAGGUUAAGGGGAAUCGUUAGCGGUAACGCGAAGCGGUGAACUUAAGCCCCAGUAAACGGCGGCCGUAACUAUAACGGUCCUAAGGUAGCGAAAUUCCUUGUCAGGUAAGUUCUGACCCGCACGAAUGGCGUAAUGACUUGGGCACUGUCUCAACUGUAAAUCCGGCGAAGUUGUAGUGCAAGUGAAGAUGCUUGCUACCCGCGAUUGGACGGAAAGACCCCGUAGAGCUUUACUGUAGCUUAGCAUUGAGUUUCGGUAUUGUCUGUACAGGAUAGGUGGGAGACUUGGAAGCAUUCUCGUUAGGGGAUGUGGAGUCGUCCUUGGGAUACCACCCUGACAGUACUGGGAUUCUAACCGGGCACCAUGAAGCUGGUGACGGGACAUUGUUAGGUGGGCAGUUUGACUGGGGCGG
rnacentral:rRNA from 1 species